rnacentral:rRNA from 1 species
UACGUAGGGGGCAAGCGUUGUCCGGAAUUAUUGGGCGUAAAGCGCGCGCAGGUGGUCCUUUAAGUCUGAUGUGAAAGCCCACGGCUCAACCGUGGAGGGUCAUUGGAAACUGGGGGACUUGAGUGCAGGAGAGAAGAGUGGAAUUCCACGUGUAGCGGUGAAAUGCGUAGAGAUGUGGAGGAACACCGAUGGCGAAGGCAGCCCCCUGGGCUGAGAUUGACGCUCAGGCACGAAAGCGUGGGGAGCAAACAGG